AUGCGGCCGCGCCGCCGGCUUUCCGUGACAGGCUCGGGACGCUGCUCCCCUCACGGCAGCCGCCGCCAUGGCGGCUCUCACGGGAGGGCGACUCCUCCCACGGAACGCAAACGGGGCUCGGCGGAGGGCUGGAGCCGGGCCGCGCCGCGGCGCUGCGUGCCGGGAGGGAAGGGACGGGAAGGGAAGGGAAGGGAGAAGAAGGAGGCGGCCCGGCCGGGUCACGCCCGCCCCUGGCUCCGGCCCUCCGCCGCCCCUUCCUGUGAUGGCGGCCGGCGGCCCCCGGCAGCGCGGCGAGGCGGCGCGGGCCGGCCCCGCGGGGAGCUGAGCGGGGACGUUCCCAGCCCGGAGCCAGCGGCGCUGCCUUGCGCCGGGAGAUGGUGCAAACAGAAAGGGUAUUUGUCCUGUAGUAUGCACGGGGAGCUUGCUCAGAAGAGGGACCGAAGGUUAAAUCCACGACCUCCUGAGCACAUACCCAUCGCCCCACGUACGCAGAGAAGCUGUGCCGUGCCAAAAGAUAUCGCUGAGGUCCCUGCGUUCCAGCACUUCCCUCGUUUAACUUCCCUGUGGGGUCGGCAGCAUGUCUUCUACCGGGAGCACCUCAAAACUUUUCCUGGCCCUUGCUUCGCUGCUGCUGGUGCUGCCAGCGGUUGAAGCCAUGGAUGCAGGAGAUACGAUUGCCUUCCUGCUAGGCCUCGCUGUCAGCGUCAUUGGAUUCUGUGCCUGCCUCGGCUUGUAUGCCAGGAAAAGAAAUGGACAGCAAUGAUGUCAAGAAGAUGCUCAAAUGAAGUGUAUUUCCAAAUGCUGCUUGGGGUUGAGGUCUGGGAGUUAACACUGUGUUCCAGUUCUGGAUAGCUUUCAAAAACUUCUAGUAG
rnacentral:lncRNA from 1 species